AGGCGGGGCUCGGCGAAACAACGAACCCCGGCGCCGUCGCGGCGCCAAGGAAAACCAACGGGACGGACCCCGGCGCGCCCCGUCCGCGGGCGCGCGCCAGGGACCGCUUCGAAAAUCACGAACUUAACGACUCUCGGCAACGGAUAUCUCGGCUCUCGCAUCGAUGAAGAACGUAGCGAAAUGCGAUACUUGGUGUGAAUUGCAGAAUCCCGUGAACCAUCGAGUCUUUGAACGCAAGUUGCGCCCGAAGCCAUUAGGCCGAGGGCACGUCUGCCUGGGCGUCACGCAACGCGUCGCCCCUCGCCCCCUCGCGGGGCGGGGGCGGAGGAUGGCCCCCCGCGCCCUGACCGGCGCGGCCGGCCCAAACCCGGAAUCGCCCCGACGGCGGGUCGUCGCGACAGGUGGUGGCGUCUCACGAUAUCAUCCGGCCCUGGCGCGCGAGAACCCGUCCCGAGACGAUCGGACCCAAGGCUGCUGCCCUCCCGAGCCUCGUCUCGGGGGGAGAGGAGCAUCGACCGCGACCCC
rnacentral:rRNA from 1 species